ACAGAAGUCAACUUCCCAGGGAAGUAACAAAUUCUAAUGUUCAGGUGCUGAUUCACUAGAGGGCAAGGAACCAAUGGGAAGAAUCAGCAGCAGCAUAAAAAUGAAAUAAAAUGGAACUGAAUAAAAUGCUACCAAAAAUAGCUCAGGACAGGAGCUGAGAGAGAAUAGAAGACAUAUGCCAGCACUGGAGAGAAAUGGGGAAAAAUUUGGCAGGUCAUCUUUGGCAUGGAU